rnacentral:tRNA from 1 species
GGCCCGGUAGCUCAGUCGGUAGAGCAGAGGAUUGAAAAUCCUUGUGUCGGCAGUUCGAUUCUGUCCCAGGCCACCA